rnacentral:rRNA from 1 species
UGGCGACCGGCGCACGGGUGAGUAACGCGUAUGCAACUUACCUAUCAGAGGGGGAUAGCCCGGCGAAAGUCGGAUUAAUACCCCAUGAAACAGGGGUCCCGCAUGGGAAUAUUUGUUAAAGAUUCAUCGCUGAUAGAUAGGCAUGCGUUCCAUUAGGCAGUUGGCGGGGUAACGGCCCACCAAACCGACGAUGGAUAGGGGUUCUGAGAGGAAGGUCCCCCACAUUGGACUGAGACACGGCCAA